CAACGUGAGCAACCUACCGAUUUGUGGGGGAUAGCUGUCCUGACGGGCAGGUAAUACCGCAUACGCUCUUUGGGCUUCAUGGCCUAUUGAGGAAACCUCCGGGGCAAAUCGAGGGGCUCGCGGCCUAUCAGCUAGUUGGCGAGGUCACGGCUCACCAAGGCGACGACGGGUAGCUGGUCUGAGAGGAUGGCCAGCCACAUUGGGACUGAGAAACGGCCCAG
rnacentral:rRNA from 1 species